CCCGUGUCGCCGCUCCGUGGCUCUGUCACCCUCGGGUGGCACCGGCACGGGCAGGGACCGCCCCCGGGAGGGGCGGGAGGAGCCUCGGUGUCACCAAGGGGGUGCCGGUGUCACCAAGGGGGUCCUGGUUGUCCCCCAGUGUCCCCUGGUGUCCCCCCGGUGUCCCCAGGUGUGUCCCAGUGUCCUCAUGGGUGUCCCGGUGUCCCUCAAGUGUCCCCCAGUGUCCACCGCAGGUGUCCCAGUGUCUCCCAGUGUCCCCAGGUGUGUCCCAGGUGUGUCCCAGGUGUCCCCCAGAUGUGUCCCAGGUGUCCCCCAGUGUCCCCCCGGUGUCCCCCCGGUGUCCCCUGGUGUGUCCCAGUGUCCCCCGCAGGUGUCCCAGUGUCCCCAGGUGUGUCCCAGGUGUCCCCCAGUGUCCCCCCGUGUCCCCAGGUGUGUCCCGGUGUCCCCCAGGUGUGACCCAGUGUCCCCUCGGUGUGUCCCAAUGUCCCCCAAUGUCCCCCAGGUGUGUC